rnacentral:rRNA from 1 species
GGCAAAAGAGAGCUUGAUUGCAAGACAUACAGGUCGAGCAAGGAUGAAAAUCGGACUUAGUGAUCCGGUGGUUCUGCGUGGAAGGGCCAUCGCUCAACGGAUAAAAGCUACCCUGGGGAUAACAGGCUUAUCUCCCCCAAGAGUCCACAUCGACGGGGAGGUUUGGCACCUCGAUGUCGGCUCAUCACAUCCUGGGGCUGUAGUAGGUCCCAAGGGUUGGGCUGUUCGCCCAUUAAAGUGGUACGCGAGCUGGGUUCAGAACGUCGUGAGACAGUUCGGUCCCUAUCCGUCGCAGGCGUAGGAAAUUUGAGAAGACCUGUCCUUAGUACGAGAGGACCGGGAUGGACGUACCUCUGGUGUACCAGUUGUUCUGCCAAGGGCAUGGCUGGGUAGCUAUGUACGGAAUGGAUAAGCGCUGAAAGCAUCUAAGCGCGAAGCCAACUUCAAGAUAAGAUUUCCCACCGCAAGGGUAAGACCCCAGAAAGACUAUCUGGUUGAUAGGUCGAAGGUGUAAGUGCAGCAAUGUAUUUAGCUUAUCGAUACUAAUAGGUCGAGGACUUGACCAAU